CCCGGUGAAUGCUCCGCGUGUGUGACUGGUGAAGUCAACCCGACGAAAAAAAACUAUUUAUGUUCCCGGUUUGGGGCAUGAACAUUUUCGGUAAGGAGCAAAUAGGUUUGAAGAGUGACCUAAGUGGAUUUGUGUUUCCCGGAGUCGGAGAGGAGCGGAGGGCAGAGCGGAUAGUGUUGAUAUCAGGAGGCCCGUGAGUGUGACCCACGCCGUCUUGGACAUCCCAGGGCUGGUCGACCUUCGCGAGUGUGUGAAAGAUCAAAAGUAAAGACUCUGUGCCUUUCACAAAGCAAGUAGUGAAAGUGAAGCUGGUGGGAAACUCUGCUCUGGAUCUGAAUGACCCUGCUGUCCUGGAAAACCUGCAGGAGGAGCUCAAACAGAAGAUAAGGGAGCAGGGCGUGGAUGCAGAAAUCAGGCUGAGCUGGAAGAAACAAGUGGAUGGAAAGAUCUUCUACAAGGAGAAGGAGG